AAAUAACUUCUAUACAGCUGUUUCAUGGUUGAACUUCUUAUCUUAGGUAAGAAGGAAAACUGGAAGCAUUAAGCUGCUGCUGGCAUCUUUCUGGAAGCUCCUAAGAAUUCUGUCCUGAGUCUGGGAGGAAAGUUGAGAUUUCUGAACACAACAUGGAGAAGAUAAGCUUAAGUUUUGGGUUAGAACUUUUUGGGGAAAUCAUAGAAAAAGACUACUGUCAAACAGGAGCAGUAAUAGCUUUGCAAAGACUGUAGGACUUCACACAUGCAGUGAGGCAGCUGGUCUGGGGAAGAAGUCACCUCCCUAUUUGCUGAAGUUUUGACCUCACUUAACAAUGAGAAAUGCAAGUCAGCAGCUUGAGAUGGAUUUUUAUUAAUUACUGC